UCGCCUGCGCGCCACUUUCCUAACCCCGCAAUCGGGACCACACAUCCAGCACGCGUGCUUUUUUUUCUUUCUCUUUCCCUCUCCCCCUCAAAAGUUUUUGCACGUUAAUUGCUUGUUUUUAUUUUAUCGGCGGCGGCCAGGAAGGAAGCAAGUAGCGAAGAUGGAGGAUUUCGGGCUCGGUCCACGUUGACAUGGACACAUUCAAGCGUGGAGCCCCUGCUGAUGGAGUCCGUGUAUUGCCAAAGUGCUUACAGUGCAGGUAGAUCUAUUCAAUACCUACUGCAGUGGAGGCACUUAAAGCAAUACUCGGACAUGUGUGUUCAGUCACCUCCCGUCCCAUCUUUUAUUUUUGCAGAACUGUCUUUGUGCUAAGGUGCAUCUAGUGCAGAUAGUGAAAUAGACUAGCACCUACUGCCCUAAGUGCUCCUUCUGGCAUAAGGGGCUGUGACAUGCUGCCACACAAACCAAUCCUAAUUUCCUAAUUGGGCCUAAUUUGUCUUGCAGUUCUCUGCUAGUUUUGCAUUGUUGCACUACAAGAAUAGAUGAGUUGUGCAAAUCUAUGCAAAACUGAUGGUGGCCUGCUUGCUCUCCACCUGUUUGGGUCUUUUUGGUUUUUUUUGGUUUUUGGACAUGGCAUCCCCGCUUAAAUCACACAUAAUGUACCUUUUUUUUAGUGUGUGCUGAAAAUCUAAAGUGUCUAGUUUUUAGGGUGUCAACUUGUCCACUGGUUCAGCAGUACUAAAGUGCUUAUAGUGCAGGUAGUGCUUCCUAUCUACUGCAAUGUAAGCACUUGAAGUACUUCUAACUUACUAUCUUUUUUUUUUUUUGAAGCUCGCAUGUAUGCUGUUAACUUUGACUUGUCGUUGCUUGGUCAGUUUUGCUGGUUUGCAUUCAGCUUUUAACUGUUUGCUGUGCAAAUCCAUGCAAAACUGACCAGGUGGAUGAAAUAUCUCAUCGGGGUACGUAUUGUCGACAAAAUGUGUACGAUGUCCUUUCUUGUGGAGGUGGGGAUUAGUAGCAAUGCUGUAAAUUUGAGGUAUUGCACUUGUCCCGGCCUGUAUAGGAAUGAGGAUAUGGUCAGACGGACGAAUAAACGGUGACCCUAACUUUUUUAAUGUUUGGCGUGUAGUGUUUUGUAAUUGUGCUCAUGCAAAUAAAUAAAUAAAAAAGUGAAAAUUG